rnacentral:rRNA from 1 species
CCUACGGGGUGCUGCAGUGGGGAAUAUUGGACAAUGGGCGAAAGCCUGAUCCAGCCAUGCCGCGUGUGUGAAGAAGGCCUUCGGGUUGUAAAGCACUUUCAGUGGGGAAGAAAGCCUUGGGGCUAAUACCCUCGAGGAAGGACAUCACCCACAGAAGAAGCACCGGCUAACUCCGUGCCAGCAGCCGCGGUAAUACGGAGGGUGCGAGCGUUAAUCGGAAUUACUGGGCGUAAAGCGCGCGUAGGCGGUCUGAUAAGCCGGUUGUGAAAGCCCCGGGCUCAACCUGGGAACGGCAUCCGGAACUGUCAGGUUAGAGUGCAGGAGAGGAAGGUAGAAUUCCCGGUGUAGCGGUGAAAUGCGUAGAGAUCGGGAGGAAUACCAGUGGCGAAGGCGGCCUUCUGGACUGACACUGACGCUGAGGUGCGAAAGCGUGGGUAGCAAACAGGAUUAGAUACCCUAGUAGUC